rnacentral:rRNA from 1 species
CCUUAGUAACUGCGAGUGAAGCGGCAAGAGCUCAAAUUUGAAAUCUGGCACCUUCGGUGUCCGAGUUGUAAUUUGUAGAAGCAUCUUUUGAUUUGCGCCUUGCAUAAGUUCCUUGGAACAGGACGUCAUAGAGGGUGAGAAUCCCGUUUAUGGUGGGGCUUGCAAUUCUUUGUAAAGUGCUUUCGACGAGUCGAGUUGUUUGGGAAUGCAGCUCUAAGUGGGUGGUAAAUUCCAUCUAAAGCUAAAUAUUGGCGAGAGACCGAUAGCGAACAAGUACAGUGAUGGAAAGAUGAAAAGCACUCCGAAAGGAGGGUGAAAAAGGACGUGAAAUUGUUGAAAGGGAAGUGCUUGGGAUCAGUCUUGGGAGUUAGUGAUCAGCUUUCCUUUUGGAUUGUGCACUCGCUAUUUCUUAGGCCAACAUCAGUUUUUGCGGCAGGAUAAUGACAUUGGAAUGUGGCUUUCUCGGAAGUGUUAUAGACUUUGUUGAUACUGCUUGCUUGGACUGAGGACCGCGCUUUUGCUAGGAUGUUGGCAUAAUGAUCUUAAGCAGC